rnacentral:rRNA from 1 species
UACGAAGGGGGCUAGCGUUGCUCGGAAUUACUGGGCGUAAAGGGAGCGUAGGCGGGUCGUCAAGUUGGGGGUGAAAGCCCAGGGCUCAACCUUGGAAUUGCCUUCAAAACUGACGAUCUAGAGUAUGGAAGAGGUAAGUGGAACUCCGAGUGUAGAGGUGAAAUUCGUAGAUAUUCGGAAGAACACCAGUGGCGAAGGCGGCCAACUGGACCAAUACUGACGCUGAGGCGCGAAAGCGUGGGGAGCAAACAGG